AGGUUUGAGGAGGUGCAAGUGAACCUCGGCCCAACCUGAAAGGACUGUCGAGGUCCCUGGCCAGUGUC